GGUAGAAUUUGGGAGUUAUGCAUUUCUUAAGAGCAUCGGUCAGACUUCCUAAAAGGCAAGUCACACUUGAUCACCACAGUGCUUAAAAUCUUUCCACGGCGUGCUGACGCAGCCGCCCUUCCGCUUGUGCCUGGACACAGUUGUGGGGGAUGCAGGCGACCACGAGGAUCCCGGGGAGCCCGGUGCAAAAGAGGCGACGCCUUGGAGAGGAGCUGCUGACAUCUCACUGCCAGGCCUGAGGAGAUGCAGAUAAAAGAAAUAUUCAAGAAAAUACUUCGGUUAUUCAGGAGCUCCAACCUUCUCAGUUUUCUUCAUCAUAGCUAACGGGGAUUCACGCCGAGCUCCACGUGUGUCUGGUUUUCAAGAAGACGAGGCGGCUGAGUGGCUCGGGCGUGCCCUGUCUCCAGCCCUGUCUGCUAUGCUGCUGGCCCCUGACUUCUCGGUCACCUCCGCUCACCCUCGGAUCUGACCAGCAGCUUCGGUACCUGGCGCCUCUCUGGCGAAGUGUGGUGGUCACAGGGCUGUCGGGGCACCAGGCAGGGCAUGAUAUGCACAUACUUCCUCACAUUUUAGGACCGUGAGUGCUACUCUCCCAUAAAUACCUGAACUCGUACAUUGGCUGCUGAUUUAUAAAGGUCCAAAGCAGCCAGAAAGCAGUGCAUGUGGGCACAAAUAUGUUAAAAAUGAGCCUACUUGGGCCGGGGAUUUAGCUCAGUGGUUUCGCCGCCUGCUGCGCAAGCGCAAGGACCAGAGUUCGAUCCCCGGGACCAAAAAAAAACAGCAAAAGAAAUGGGCCCAGUAAAUAGAAGAGCUCAAUAUAUGAUGUCUGAUAAUAAAAAUAAUAAUAUAAUAAAAGUGAAUAAAAUGUCUAAAGGAGAAAGAAAACUUGAUCUUGGCCCUUAUAACCUUUCUGUUGUUCUUGUAGAUCAAUAAUAAUCAUUAUAGUUUCUCUUUAGCACAGCCCGAUGGUAUUUUAGAAAAAGAUAUGUUUAAAUAAAAGGCCAUGUAUGUCUG
rnacentral:lncRNA from 1 species